rnacentral:misc_RNA from 1 species
UCCGGUUUGUCACCGGCAGUCUCCUUAGAGUUCCCACCAUUACGUGCUGGCAACUAAGGACAAGGGUUGCGCUCGUUGCGGGACUUAACCCAACAUCUCACGACACGAGCUGACGACAACCAUGCACCACCUGUCUUGGCGUUCCCUUGCGGGCACUUUUCUGUUUCCAAAAAAUUCGCCAGAUGUCAAACCCAGGUAAGGUUCUUCGCGUAGCAUCGAAUUGAACCACAUGCUCCACCGCUUGUGCGGGCCCCCGUCAAUUCCUUUGAGUUUUAAUCUUGCGACCGUACUUCCCAGGCGGGACACUUAAUGCGUUAGCGCCGGCACGGGAGGAGUCGACACCUCCCACACCUAGUGCCCAUCGUUUACGGCGUGGACUAC